AGUGAACGCUGGCGGUAGGCCUAACACAUGCAAGUCGAACGGCAGCACAGUAAGAGCUUGCUCUUACGGGUGGCGAGUGGCGGACGGGUGAGGAAUAUAUCGGAAUCUACUUUUUCGUGGGGGAUAACGUAGGGAAACUUACGCCAAUACCGCAUACGACCUACGGGUGAAAGCAGGGGAUCUUCGGACCUUGCGCGAUUGAAUGAGCCGAUGUCGGAUUAGUUAGUUGGCGGGGUAAAGGCCCACCAAGGCGACGAUCCGUAGCUGGUCUGAGAGGAUGAUCGGCCACACGGGACCUGGGACACGGUCCAGACUCCUACGGGAGGCAGCAGUGGGGAAUAUUGGACAAUGGGCGCAAGCCUGAUCCAGCCAUACCGCGUGGGUGAAGAAGGCCUUCGGGUUGUAAAGCCCUUUUGUUGGGAAAGAAAAGCAGCAGGUUAAUACCCCGCUGUUCUGACGGUACCCAAAGAAUAAGCACCGGCUAACUUCGU
rnacentral:rRNA from 1 species